rnacentral:lncRNA from 1 species
GUUCGGACUCCUUGGUGUUUUUCCAUACAAUACAAUGUAAAAUAUUUUGCCACAUAACACCCAUUUAUUUUUUCAUGUAAGACUUAUUAGCUCAUGAAUGGUCAUUUACCAAAAUUUUAGAAGAUUCUUGAUUUUCUUUCUUUUGUUUUGAGACCCAAUAAUACCAAUGCAAAUAUAAGGUAAAAGUCCGAGUCAGACUUUUCCCGCCACAUUUUAAAUCUCAAAUAUCUCGAAAAGGAGGUCCAUGACCUAUCAAUAUUUUUAACUUAUUUUAAUCCUUAAUUGAUGCUCUACCAGCUUAUAGUAUCAAUUUUAACUUCUUAAUUUAUUAUUU